rnacentral:tRNA from 1 species
GGGAGCUGUAGGAGAGCUGGCAUUUAUGGGAUUUGGCGUAUCCCAGGGCGGUUCCGUACCGCCAAACCCCA